rnacentral:rRNA from 1 species
AGCGAACGCUGGCGGCAGGCCUAACACAUGCAAGUCGAACGAACCUUUCGGGGUUAGUGGCGGACGGGUGAGUAACACGUGGGAACGUGCCUUUAGGUUCGGAAUAACUCAGGGAAACUUGUGCUAAUACCGAAUGUGCCCUUCGGGGGAAAGAUUAAUCGCCUCUAGAGCGGCCCGCGUCUGAUUAGCUAGUUGGUUGAGGUAAUGGCUCACCAAGGCGACGUUCAGUAGCUGGUCUGAGAGGAUGAUCAGCCACAUUGGGACUGGGACACGGCCCAAACUCCUACGGGAGGCAGCAGUGGGGAAUCUUGCGCAAUGGGCGAAAGCCUGACGCAGCCAUGCCGCGUGAAUGAUGAAGGUCUUAGGGUUGUAAAAUUCUUUCACCGGGGACGAUAAUGACGGUACCCGGAGAAGAAGCCCCGGCUAACUUCGUG